rnacentral:rRNA from 1 species
UUUAUGGAGAGUUUGAUCCUGGCUCAGAGUGAACGCUGGCGGCGUGCCUAAUACAUGCAAGUCGAACGAUGAAGCUUCUAGCUUGCUAGAAGUGGAUUAGUGGCGCACGGGUGAGUAAGGUAUAGUUAAUCUGCCCUACACAAGAGGACAACAGUUGGAAACGACUGCUAAUACUCUAUACUCCUGCUUAACACAAGUUGAGUAGGGAAAGUUUUUCGGUGUAGGAUGAGACUAUA